AUGAUACAUGUGGUCCACAAAAUUACUAUCACAAUUCAUAAAAUUUUAAUAUUCAAAUGAAAUAGUGCUUUUAAAGAAAAUACGGAGUAAUUAAGUUGAUGUAAAUUUUUUUUUUUUUUUUUUAAACCAGUACAGAUUUUACGGGUAAUCAAACAUGCCCGGCCCGAUCCAUAUGCAAGCUUAUAUAUAUAUAUGUAGCAUACCAGUUGUACGUUCCCCAUUGCUAGGGUUUUUGUCCAAAGCUCUCUCGAUCAAUUUUUAUUUUCUCGAGAUAGGGUUUAGGGUUUUCUAUCAGAGCUGCUAGAUCUUCCACAGAUUAGGGUUUCGUUUUACGCCCAAGAUCGAUGUUGAGACUAUUUCGUGUUCAUGAGAGGGAAUAUGGAAGAGGGUGUAGCAAUAGAAAUCAGGAUACAGCUUAUGAAAAAAAGAGGAUACAGACAGGGAAAUGGAGAGGGCAAUUUUCGCCUGAGUGAAGAUGGGAAUAUGGUCGAGGGAGAGAGACAUAGAUGGAAGGUGGGAAAUGAAAUAGGCACCACAGGUAGAGUGGCAGAGCAACCAUUCAAGGAGCCACCUUAUGAGUAGGGAUCUUAAGGAUCGCAAUGGCAGGGAGAACUGCAAGAGGAAUGGUUGCAAAAGUGCUAGCCAUAGAAGGCAUGGGAAUGGGCCAGAGGAUGGGGUUACUCGUCAACAACCAAAAAAGAAAAGAAAUAUGACACUGGCACAGACCUCCGAGAUCCAGACACCUCAUUUUUGUUAUUUACUUGUUUGCUGCAACUCCAAAUUUGUAAGAAAUAUUAGUAAAUGUGUUACAUUAAAUUCAGUCUUGUUUGCAAAUAAGAAACAAUGCAUAAUUUGUUUUCA